GCUAAAGUAGCUUAAGAUAAAGCAUCAGUCUUGUAAACUGAAGACUAGAGAUCACCACUCUCUUUAGUC
rnacentral:tRNA from 1 species